rnacentral:rRNA from 1 species
UACGGAGGGGGCUAGCGUUGUUCGGAAUUACUGGGCGUAAAGCGCGCGUAGGCGGUCUGUUAAGUGCACAAGUGAAAGCUCCGGGCUCAACUCGGAAAUUGCUUUGCAUACUGGCAGGCUGGAGGGACGCAGAGGUCUGUGGAAUUCCUGGUGUAACGGUGAAAUGUGUUGAUAUCAGGAGGAACACCCAUGGCGAAGGCAGCAGACUGGGCGUUUCCUGACGCUGAGGCGCGAAAGCGUGGGUAGCAAACGAGG